rnacentral:rRNA from 1 species
CAGCAGCCGCGGUAAUACGAAGGGGGCUAGCGUUGCUCGGAAUUACUGGGCGUAAAGGGAGCGUGGGCGGAUCGUUUAGUCAGGGGUGAAAUCCCGGGGCUCAACCUCGGAACUGCCUUUGAUACUGGCGAUCUUGAGUAUGGGAGAGGUGUGUGGAACUCCGAGUGUAGAGGUGAAAUUCGUAGAUAUUCGGAAGAACACCAGUGGCGUAGGCGACACACUGGCCCAUUACUGACGCUGAGGCUCGAAAGCGUGGGGAGCAAACAGGAUUAGAUACCCCGGUAGUCCCUGUCUCUUAUAA